rnacentral:rRNA from 1 species
GUCGAACGGAAAGGCCCUUCGGGGUACUCGAGUGGCGAACGGGUGAGUAACACGUGGGUGAUCUGCCCUGCACUUUGGGAUAAGCCUGGGAAACUGGGUCUAAUACCGAAUAUGACCAUGCACUUCCUGGUGUGUGGUGGAAAGCUUUUGCGGUGUGGGAUGGGCCCGCGGCCUAUCAGCUUGUUGGUGGGGUAAUGGCCUACCAAGGCGACGACGGGUAGCCGGCCUGAGAGGGUGACCGGCCACACUGGGACUGAGAUACGGCCCAGACUCCUACGGGAGGCAGCAGUGGGGAAUAUUGCACAAUGGGCGCAAGCCUGAUGCAGCGACGCCGCGUGAGGGAUGACGGCCUUCGGGUUGUAAACCUCUUUCAGCACAGACGAAGCGCAAGUGACGGUAUGUGCAGAAGAAGGACCGGCCAACUACGUGCCAGCAGCCGCGGUAAUACGUAGGGUCCGAGCGUUGUCCGGAAUUACUGGGCGUAAAGAGCUCGUAGGUGGUUUGUCGCGUUGUUCGUGAAAACUCACAGCUUAACUGUGGGCGUGCGGGCGAUACGGGCAGACUUGAGUACUGCAGGGGAGACUGGAAUUCCUGGUGUAGCGGUGGAAUGCGCAGAUAUCAGGAGGAACACCGGUGGCGAAGGCGGGUCUCUGGGCAGUAACUGACGCUGAGGAGCGAAAGCGUGGGGAGCGAACAGGAUUAGAUACCCUGGUAGUCCACGCCGUAAACGGUGGGUACUAGGUGUGGGUUUCCUUCCUUGGGAUCCGUGCCGUAGCUAACGCAUUAAGUACCCCGCCUGGGGAGUACGGCCGCAAGGCUAAAACUCAAARAAAUUGACGGGGGCCCGCMCAAGCGGCGGA